UACGAAGGGGGACUAGCGUUGUUCGGAAUUACUGGGCGUAAAGCGCACGUAGGCGGAUUUGUAAGUCAGGGGUGAAAUCCCAAGGCUCAACCUUUGGAACUGCCUUUGAUACUGGGGAUCUUGAGUCCGGGAGAGGUGAGUGGAACUGCGAGUGUAGAGGUGAAAUUCGUAGAUAUUCGCAAGAACACCAGUGGCGAAGGCGGACUCACUGGCCCCGGGUACUGA
rnacentral:rRNA from 1 species